rnacentral:rRNA from 1 species
CCUACGAGAGGCAGCAGUGAGGAAUAUUUGUCAAUGGGCGCGAGCCUGAACCAGCCAAGUAGCGUGAAGGAUGACUGCCCUACGUGUUGUAAACUUCUUUUAUAAAGGAAUAAAGUGAGGCACGUGUGCCUUUUUGUAUGUACUUUAUGACUAAGGAUCGGCUAACUCCGUGCCAGCAGCCGCGGUAAUACCGAGGAUCCGAGCGUUAUCCGGAUUUAUUGGGUUGAAAGGGCGCGUAGAUGGGUUGUUAAGUCAGUUGUGAAAGUUUGCGGCUCAACCGUAAAAUUGCAAUUGAUACUGGCAGUCUUGAGUACAGUUGAGGUAGGCGGAAUUCGUGGUGUAGCGGUGAAAUGCUUAGAUAUCACGAAGAACUCCGAUUGCGAAGGCAGCUUACUAAACUGCCACUGACAUUGAUGCUCGAAAGUGUGGGUAUCAAACAGGAUUAGAUACCCGAGUAGUC